rnacentral:rRNA from 1 species
UACGUAGGGGGGCAAGCGUUGUCCGGAUUUAUUGGGCGUAAAGAGCGUGUAGGCGGCCUGAUAGGUCGGUUGUGAAAACUGGAGGCUUAACCUUCAGACGUCGACCGAAACCAUCUGGCUAGAGUCCGGAAGAGGAGAGUGGAAUUCCUGGUGUGAGCGGUGAAAUGCGCAGAUAUCAGGAAGAACACCCGUGGCUAAGGCGGCUCUCUAGUACGGUACUGACGCUGAGACGCGAAAGCGUGGGGAGCGAACAGG